rnacentral:rRNA from 1 species
UACGGGGGGGGCAAGCGUUGUUCGGAAUUACUGGGCGUAAAGGGCUCGUAGGCGGCCCACUAAGUCAGACGUGAAAUCCCUCGGCUUAACCGGGGAACUGCGUCUGAUACUGGAGGGCUUGAGUUUGGGAGAGGGAUGCGGAAUUCCAGGUGUAGCGGUGAAAUGCGUAGAUAUCUGGAGGAACACCGGUGGCGAAGGCGGCAUCCUGGACCAACACUGACGCUGAGGAGCGAAAGCCAGGGGAGCAAAGCGGGAUUAAGAU